UCUCUGAUGUUUUGAAUAUAGAGUCACAAAUAGAUGUUAAACGGUGGAUCUGAUCAGGUGACACUGACUCGUGGAGCAGCAGAUAAACGCCGCCCUUCUUUAUUUCUAAGCCAAGCUCAGAUCACAGAGCGGAGAGGCAGUGAUGCCGUGGUUCCUCCUCAGCGCUGAGUGAUCAUUUUGUUUGUUCGCAGUGUCAGUGUGAGGUCUGAGGAGACUAAAGGUCAGAGGUCAGAGCAGAGGACCCUCUGCUCAGUGGAUUCUGCUGUGCUGAGACAAACUGAGUCAGUGUCUGAUCAUCAGCUUCUCCAUCCCUGCACCCAAACCAUGAGUCGGCUAAAAAGAAAGCAUGACUCCAGAUUUUAUUAACAUUUGACUGUCUCCAUGGCAACCAUGAAUGGAUGUGUACCUCCUUAUCAUUGCUAUUUAAAUGAAUUACUGAAGGAGAGAGGCUAAUGACUAGUACAUGUGUGAGGUAUUUGUGAUGUGAAAAUGAGUGCUGUUGAUGUUGGGGUUCAUGUAGAACAGUAAACCAACAAAUGUUUCAAGAUCGUCACGUCUUUUUGAUGAACUCAAUGGACGAGGACUAACUCUGGACACAACAGAAACCUGUGGCUUUGCAUAAAUGAGAGAACGUGUGAUUGACCGUCCUGCCUGCAGUGCAGAUGUGGCUGCUGGUUUUUUACAGCAAAAAUUUGCAAAACCCCAGCACAAAGGGUAUUAUAAAUAAAAUAUAAAGUUUCUCAGUUAGUUUAUAAGGAGUAAGGUUAGUCAGUGAAGACAUGCAGGACAUUUAGAUUUCCUUUUUUUUAUUUCAGGUUUUGAUGAGGUCAGCUUCUCUCUCAGGUAGCUGGGGGAGAGCCUCAGAACUGCAGUUGUUUGAGUUUUUAUUGUUAGUUUGGACUGAGUCGACUCAGCAGAUCCUCAUUAAAGAGUUUAAUCCCUGACUCACUGCUGCUGUCUUUUCUUCUUCUUUGUGGAAGGAGAAGGAGGAGAAGGGCUGACAAAACAAAGACCCUGGAAGAAAAAGAAGAGGGAAAGUGCAGAACAGAGAGCAGGAGGAGGAGGAGGAGGAGGAGGAGGAGCUUUCAUCAUCAUCAGCCUCCUGUCAAUCACUGUGAUGAAUGAGUCGCUCAGGGAGCAGAAAUAUGACUGAGUCUGGGAUUUGGAGGGUUUGUGGACGUCCUGAAAGAAGACAUGGAGACUUUUGGUUUAAAACCAGGGGAGAGAGGAUCGGGUGAGACGGAGGCAGAGGAUCCAAAGAAGAAGAAGAAGAAGAAGAAGAAGAAGAAGAACCAAGAAGACACCAUGGUGUAGGUAUUCAUGUUCAUUCCUCUAAAUGUAUUUGCUCAACAGUCUGCAGGCCUAGACCGCUGGCAGGCCUCUCAGGUAGCUGCUCUCCUUUAUUACUAAACUAUGGUGUUGUUACAUGUGUGUAAUUUGGCCUUUGAUAGACUGAGACUGUUCUCCGAAGAUUACCGAAGACAGAAACACACGGGGGCGCUCACACAGACACACAGUGCUCUGCUAAUCAGCUGUUAGCCCACUGUCGCCUGUAGCUAAUUGAAGUAUUUGUUUGGCAAACAGCCGGUCUGAUUUGGCCUCUAUCUCUGCUCCGCCCUCCCACUGUUCCUUCACCUUCUCACAUUUCCCAUCUUUCCAUCUUUCCGUCUACUUUAACGCCGUUGGAACCUGGAACCAUCCUCAGCUUCAAGGGCUUCACAGGGAGUUUGUCCUGUAGAAGACGUACAACGAGACGCAGACCCUCAUUCUGAUGGUGAAAGAGAGACACGUCAGUGACGGCGUCUGCAGCACAGCAGCUGGAUCUGUCUGAGGUGAAGUUCCUGCGUCUGAGUCACAACAAAGACAAGAAUGUGGAGGCUGUGAAAGGAACUGCAGCAGCGUCUUAGUGUGAAACGCUGCAGAUUUGUCCUUACCUGCAGGAGACACAUACCUGCUGGGAGAGAGGGCGGAGCCAGCAAGCAGCCGUGUGACGACUCUGUGGUGAGGAAGGGCACACACAAGGUCAAUUGUCCUUCGCCUGAAUCCGUUCAGCCUCGGCUCUGAUGUUAGCGGACGCUAACGAAGCAGGACAUGUCAUUAUUCCAGGGUUCACGGAGGACAGAAACCAGGAGCUCGUUUCACGCCUCGCUGCGUCAAAGUCCACGAGCAAAAUCAGAUCAUUUCAACUUCGCUCAUUCCAACAUCAGCAGCUGUCAUUUGGAAAAUGAGGCGACGCGAAGGGCUUCGAGAAGAUUCUUGUUUUGAACAUAACAAAAGCAGUGGGACAUAAGUGAGGACAGAAAAUCAAGGGAAUAUUAGGAAGGUCAACUACAGUCUGACUUUUCACAAACUUGUGUUGGAACUAGAAGAAAUGAGAAAGUUUCUAAGAAAAGACGGAACCUCAGCCACGGUCUGACAUCAAACCUGGAUCUGGAAUUAUUAAAAGUUUGAUGUGAAAAGAUUUUAAAAACAAACAUGUCUCCAAAAGUUGGUGGAUGUUAAAUAUAAAAAUGUUUAUAUAUUGUGCUAUCGAACGGACGAUCAGCUCAUCAAAUCUUCUCGACCAAUGGAGUUCAUCUUGGAGAAACCUUCUGUCAAUCAGUUCCACCUACUGUUAACCUUGACUUCCACCCACAACAUCUUUACUAAUGAUCUCCUCCACUGGUCGACCAAUCAUCUUGGAUCUGUUACCUCGAUCACUAACCUCGACUUUUCAUCUCAUCUCCUCACCACCACCAUGUCCUUUCACCAGUACCGUCCUCAGAUCACCUCCACCAAAGACGUCUACCAAUCACCUCCCACCAGUGAUUUUCUUCAGCCUAUCAACUCCAUCGAUCUCCGUAACAGUUCACCUCAACCAGUCACCUUGACCCAAGUGAUCACCUCUCCUCCUCAGCCCUGUUGUCCUGCCUGACCGCGGUCAAAGGUUGCUGCACCUCCCAAUUAACCAGCCAGACCCCACGGACCCCCAGCCCGUCUUUAGAACUCCAACAAUGCAACAGGAGACUGAAGCAGUAAUGACUUCCUCUAAGAUGAACUAAACCCCGUAAACUGUCCACACACUUCAUCAGGUCGAACGUCUCCAUUCGCCCGUCGUUGAUUCUUUUUCAUUUUUCAUUUUUUUUUGGUUUAGUUUUUGGAAUAAAACAACAUUUCCUGUGAGUUUGCGCCCGGGUCCUCACCCAGUGCUGACUGCUCACCCUGAUAAUUAGAUCAUGUCUGCUGAAGGCUUCGGGACAAAGACGUGUAAAUUGUGAUUAAACUUGCAGCGGCGUUUGAUGGCUGCCGCCUUUCACGGUGUCUAAUCGCUGCUGACAGUUCCUGCUCACAGAUUCUGUGACAAACUUCUCAGGGAUUUUUGAACUUUGGCUGCUCCUGCCGGCGGCCUCAGCCCUGGGCCUCGGCCCCGGCUCUGUCAAACAAUCCAAAACCAUUGACCCAAUUGUCCAGUGGUCCCUCUCCGACCACCUCAAUGAGCUCUUAGCUGCCAUUCAGCGCCGCGGCGGUUUAUGGUCAUUAAACUCUGGUUCUGUUCUGAAGCUUGAAUACAAACACUAGAGGGAGGGGGGAAAGAAAACACGGAGCGGCUGCAGGUGUGGGUCUCAGCGCCGGACUUUCCCACCGACGUGGCCUGGCGCCACCAGGCCAACUCAUUAGCUCAUGACAAUAAGGAAGGAGGCAUUUUUUUGUUUGAUUAAAAAUCUCAUUAAUGGACGAACAAAGGGCGCAUCGUGACCUCUGCGCUGCCCUCUUCUGAUCCGAAUAUGCUGCCGUGGAAUUAAGCGUCUAAUUGCGACCCUCUUGGCGCCUCGCAGAUUUUCCCUCUGUCUGACCUGCCAGUAUUUGGCGUGUGAGGAGUGAAAGAGGAGCUAAAGACAAGCGGCCUCCGGGGGGCGAUGUGUAACCUAAUCAGUAAAAGAGGCUUGCGCGGUUGACGUAGUACACACACAACACAUUCAUACGGCUACGUACGAGUGUUGGAACGCAGCCAUGUACAAGUUUUUUUGUGUUAAUCGGAAGAUUUGUAACAAUUAAUCACAAUUAAUUACGUCAUUAUCCGGUUGUGAUUUUUGACUCAAUAAGUGAGUCCAACCUUCAGUCUAUAUUUAUUAGUUAAACAGUUGAUGCUUUCUUUAUUAAGUUGGCACUGGAUUCAGUCUCUCUGGGGGCAGGGGUUCGAAACCCACCGCUGCCUUGCACGCUUGAUUUUGUGUGGCUCUAUAGUAAAGCGGUCAGCACACCUGCCUGCCAAGCAGAGAGAGUCCUGGGUUUGAUUCUGACUUACUUGGGGCAACCUGUUGCAGCAGAUCUUGCAUUACUGACACCUGGUGGACAGGAAUGUCUGCACUAUUGAUACUAGAGGGUCAGAAUUCAGAACUAUGAAACGUAGAAUUAAAUGCUUUAUUUUGCUGUAAUUAUUAUUAAAUUAAAAAGGAGUUGAUUUUGGUUCACAAAAAUACAGGAGAUAUUGGGCUAGUGCUGCCCCCUGUGGUCAGUUGGUGUCACAAUUCAAUUGGACAAAUAUUAGAUUUAAGUGAACAAUGUCAACAUCACCAUGUUUAACUAGUCGUGUG